rnacentral:rRNA from 1 species
CUACGUGCCAGCAGCCGCGGUAAUACGUAGGUGGCAAGCGUUGUCCGGAAUUAUUGGGCGUAAAGCGCGCGCAGGCGGAUUGGUCAGUCUGUCUUAAAAGUUCGGGGCUUAACCCCGUGAUGGGAUGGAAACUGCCAAUCUAGAGUAUCGGAGAGGAAAGUGGAAUUCCUAGUGUAGCGGUGAAAUGCGUAGAUAUUAGGAAGAACACCAGUGGCGAAGGCGACUUUCUGGACGAAAACUGACGCUGAGGCGCGAAAGCCAGGGGAGCGAACGGGAUUAGAUACCCCGGUAGUCCUGGCCGUAAACGAUGGGUACUAGGUGUAGGAGGUAUCGACCCCUUCCGUGCCGGAGUUAACGCAAUAAGUACCCCGCCUGGGGAGUACGACCGCAAGGUUGAAACUCAAAGGAAUUGACGGGGGCCCGCACAAGCGGUGGAGUAUGUGGUUUAAUUCGACGCAACGCGAAGAACCUUACCAG